AUUGAACGCUGGCGGCAGGCCUAACACAUGCAAGUCGAGCGAGCGGCGGACGGGGGAGUAAAGUAUGGGGGCUGCCCGAUAGAGGGGGAUAACUACUGUAAACGGUAUCUAAUACCGCAUACUAUCGGAGACCCCCUAUGGGAUUAGCUAGUGGGUGAGGUAAGGGCUCACCUAGGCGACGAUCCCUAGCUGGUCUGAGAGGAUGACCAGCCACACUGGGACUGAGACACGGCCCAGACUCCUACGGAGGCAGCAGUGGGGAAUAUUGCACAAUGGGCGCAAGCCUGAUGCAGCCAUGCCGCGUGUAUGAAGAAGGCCCUAGGGUUGUAAAGUACUUUCAGUCGGGAGGCGUUACCGACAGAAGAAGCACCGGCUAACUCCGUGCCAGCAGCCGCGGUAAUUC
rnacentral:rRNA from 1 species